UAUGAAGUUGGAAUCGCUAGUAAUCGCGGAUCAGCAUGCCGCGGUGAAUACGUUCCCGGGCCUUGUACACACCGCCCGUCACACCAUGAGAGUCGGGAACACCCGAAGUCCGUAGUCUAACCGCAAGGGGGACGCGGCCGAAGGUGGGUUCGAUAAUUGGGGUGAAGUCGUAACAAGGUAGC
rnacentral:rRNA from 1 species